rnacentral:rRNA from 1 species
CCUACGGGGCGCAGCAGUGAGGAAUAUUGGUCAAUGGACGGAAGUCUGAACCAGCCAUGCCGCGUGCAGGAAGACGGCUCUAUGAGUUGUAAACUGCUUUUGUACAAGGGUAAACCUGAAUACGUGUAUUCAGCUGAAAGUACCGUACGAAUAAGGAUCGGAGAAACACGUGCCAGCAGCCGCGGUAAUACGGAGGAUCCAAGCGUUAUCCGGAUUUAUUGGGUUUAAAGGGUGCGUAGGCGGAUUGAUAAGUUAGAGGUGAAAUGUCCGAGCUUAACUCGGGAACUGCCGCUAAUACUGUUGAUGUAGAGAGUAGGUGCGGUAGGCGGAAUGUAUGGUGUAGCGGUGAAAUGCUUAGAGAUCAUACAGAACACCGAUUGCGAAGGCAGCGUACCAAUCUAUAUCUGACGUUGAGGCACGAAAGCGUGGGGAGCAAACAGGAUUAGAUACCCGUGUAGUC